GUGUGUGUGUGUGUGCGACGUGAAGAGCAGGAGAAAGGGGGAGAACAAAACCCUAACAACACAAAAUCAAUUAAAUUGGAAAGGAAUUUGAGGGCAAAAUGAGUGCAUGAACUAAGCACUAUGAUCCCCUAAGUGUUCCUAACAUCAAGAGUCAUGUCAACAUGGAUACAAACAUGGAAGUUCCACGGGUCGAAGGUAAACACGGAAGCCAUGCUUAAAUUCGGACACUCGAGGUAAGUAAACUCCCGGACUCCAUCUUUAAUAGUAAUGGAAUUAAUUGUAUGAUAAUCGUUAAAGGUUAUGUUGAAAUUUGUUAUUGAAGAUGAUAUCGAAUGAGUAGUAUUAAGUAAGGGAUUUCCGUAAUCACUUCUUAGUUGGUGUGAGUAAUAUAAUGUUUUAAUUAAUUAAACACGAUGUUUGAGGUCAAAUAUGUGUUGAAGUCUUUCGUCGUAAAUGAUGGGAUUAAAGUUGAUUAAAACGCCCUUGAUAGGUAUAUUGGGCAAACGAUCUUAAAAGUAGUUUAGAAACAAGCUAUUCGAUUAGUGUAAUGUAUUGGUCAAGUAUGAAAGUGGGGAGUAUGGUUUUGUAUGUCAUAGACCAUUUAAUGCGCAUACACCUUAACGGGUCAAAAUAAGCUAUUGAGCGAAAAUGGGUGGAAAAGGUGUAAGGUAUCCGGGAAUGAAUCUUUUAUGAUAGAUGACCUAGAAAUUAUUAAGUUCAUAUGAAGUUAAGGUCAAACCAACAAGUUAUGUUGCUAAAUACAUGAACGGAUCGAAUAAAUCAUAAAUGAAUAAUAAGCUGAUAGUGCGUAAGCUAGGAAUUUCCUUAAUCUGGAUAUGGGAUUUCAAGUCCACUUGAUAGAAUGUUAAUUUACAAUCACGUAGGAAGAAACGUGACGCAAAACGGAUAAAAAAUGAGAGAGUUAUGUCCGUUAAGGUAAGAACUAAUGGCUUGGAAAAGUGCAGAGCUGACACGGCCGUGUGGUUAGCUGACACGGCCGGGUGAAGGUUCUGUCAAAAAUAUUAUUUAUAUGAUUUAUGCAUCGUAGGCUUCGGUAUAUUAUCCGUGGACUACGGUGGGCCUACCAAACAUGAUUUUUAUCGUUCCUUUGAUGUAUAUGAGUUAUAAAUCUAAGUCUAAGUCCCAUGUGAUUAAUGUAUGAGUAUGUAAGAGGUAUACAAGUUAUUGAACAUGUACAUAGGAACGUAUGUACGUAUGUAGAUGUGUAUUUAUGUAUAUAUGAAGGUACGUAUGAGUGUAUGCAUGUAUGUAGAGACAUAGGAAUGUAUGUACGUAUGUAGUUGUGUAUUUAUGUAUAUAUGAAGAUACGUAGGAGUAUAUGCAUGUAUGUAGAGAUGUAGAAAUGUAGGUACGUAUGUAAAUGUGUAUCCAUGUAUGUAUGCAUGAAGGUGCGUAUGAGUGUAUGCAUAUGUGUAGAGGUAUAGGAAGGCAUGUAGGUAUGUAGAUGUGGAUGUAUGCAUGAAAAAAAUGUAAGUAUGCCUGAUUUAGAUGCGUUGAGUAAUACGUUAUUAAUGGUGUACCUUGAGGAUGAAAAGUGAUGCAGGUACAUUAUUGAAGCCUCACCAGGAUACGGAUACGCAGAUGAAAUGCUUAAAGCUAGAAAGAUAAUGAAAAGGGGAAGUGUUGUGCAAAUCACGAGCGAUUAUCACGAGGAAUAGAGAUCGAAGACCGAGUCACAAGAUAGAUGUACGGGAUUAAUUGAGUAUAUACUUUAGCAAACGGAUGUUAUGCUUUUGUUUUGUAAAACAUAUAUUUUUAAAAUGAACUUUCAAGUAAGUUAAGACGUGUGUAAUAAAAGAAAUUUUACGGCAAGAAUUUCCGCUGCGACUU
rnacentral:lncRNA from 1 species